ensembl:lncRNA
GGCUGCCUUGUCCAGCGGGGCCCGGGGGAAGAAACGCCCUGCUGGCCUGUGCCCCCCAUGCCUUAAGGGACUGGCAGCUGCCACUCCCUCUCUAGGGAGCUCUGCGUGACCUGUAAGACAGUGGUCUGCCUGCCAGAGAGGCCAGUUCUCAACCAUCCCCACCGAGGUCCCAGGCAUGAGAGCAAAGCCUUCUUGCAUCCCCUAGACCAGGCUAGUGUCCAGCUGAAGGCUGUCAAAGGACCUCAGCUGAUGCCAGGCAUGCCUCCUUCUCUCUGGAAGCCGUUUCUGAUGACACCAGCCCAUUGUAGGUGCGUCUGCUCUGUAUUCCCAUGGGCAUCCUCACCUCACCCACCUGACUGUGCCCGGCUGCUAACUUCUCUGCCACCACCUUACUAGGUCCCCAGAGACGAGGAUCCUGUGUCUGUCUGCCUCAGCAUCGUGCCUUCGACAGAGAGCAUGGUAGUCGUUACAUAAGUAUCUCACGGAAGAGUGAAUGCACAGGCCAGAGUCUGGGAGCCCCUUCCUCGUGGGUGCUGCCUCAGAGCCCCAGCUUCAGGGCUGAAUCUCUUGCUACCAUCAGACCCUUCAGGAAGCAUCACAGUUACCUUCCUCUCCAUCUUCCGAGGCACUCCCUCUGCUCCCAGGACCAGAAGCUCUGGGAGAGUAGAGACCACACGAGUUUCCUUCUGACUUUCCCAGACAUUGCCUGGCACUUUGCAGCAACCCCAUGACUGUUAUCUAAGUCAACUUUUUGACUCAUUCCAACCCCACAGCUACACAGCCACUAGCUGUGUCAUCUUUGGGAAUACAUGUCUUUCUAGUUUCACCUGUGAAAUGAGCUCAAGAGUAACUACUACUCACCAGAAAACACCAUCAAUGACUGGACACCUGUUUUCUUAUAUACCACUAAGAAAACAAACAAACAAACAAAAAAGAAUACUUCCGCAAACCUUUGACUCAAUGUUUUUAAUCUCUUGGAAUUUCAUUUUAUAUUUAAAAUUAUUUUAAAAUCUCUUUGAGAUUUAAUCCAUAUAGAUUUUAUCUCAUGUCACUCUUGCAUGCGUGUGUGCUAAGACGCUUCAGUUGUGUAUGACUCUCUGCGACCCGCUGGACUAUAGCCCACCAGGCUCUUCUAUCCAUGGGAUUCACCAGACAGGAAUACUGGAAUGGGUUGCCAGGCCCUCCUCCAGGGGAUCUUCUCAACC